rnacentral:rRNA from 1 species
UACAGAGGUCUCAAGCGUUGUUCGGAUUCAUUGGGCGUAAAGGGUGCGUAGGCGGCGCGGUAAGUCGGGUGUGAAAUCUCGGAGCUUAACUCCGAAACUGCAUUCGAUACUGCCGUGCUUGAGGACUGGAGAGGAGACUGGAAUUUACGGUGUAGCGGUGAAAUGCGCAGAUAUCAGGAGGAACACCGGUGGCGAAGGCGGGUCUCUGGGCAGUAACUGACGCUGAGGAGCGAAAGCGUGGGGAGCGAACAGG